AUUGUGUGUAAAUGUAUUGGUGUUCUUCGGUAGUUCACCUAUCAUGAUGAUUUUUGCGACGUCAUGUUGUCCACGUCACUAUCGACUUGGUUGAGAUGGUAUUUACCAUCACCAGUGAUAAAUACUGUAUUUAAAUUUCUGCCAUUUCACUGUUGACAAUCAUGAAGUUACUCGUAACAAUUUUGAUCUGCUUUAUCCUAAGUCUUCAGGAAUAUCAACAAGUUAAUGGUGCAAGUGUAAAAUCUUUUAUUACCAAGCGGUCAUGCAUCUCGCUAUAUCAACACUGUAAUCCAUUUUCUGGGGAUCCAUGUUGCAAAGGAAUAUGUAGAUGCCCACCGAAACUCCAUUGUCAAUGCACUACAUGGAAAUAAAAGUUUCUAAAAUGUACUGUAUGGAAAACAAUCCGUUCAAAAGUUAAAAAAUAAAAUAAAA